rnacentral:rRNA from 1 species
GUAUGUGUGUUUAGCGAUAGUGAAAAGUACCGUGAGGGAAAGAUGAAAAGUAAGUCUAUGACUGGUGAAAUAGAACCUGAAUUAGCAAUCAUAUAAGCACUUAGAGCCCGAAGCUGAACAUCAGAUAUGGGUGAUAAGGUACCUUUUGUAUAAUGGGUUAGCAAGUUAACAUGGGUGGCAAGGUUAAAACCCCAGCGAAAGCGAUUGAUUUAAGUAUUUCUUAAAUGCGAGAUUAGUCAUUUAUGUUAGACCCGAAAACUAGUGAUCUUUGCAUGGCCAGGUUUUAUAAUGGACCGAACAGGUUAACGUUGCAGUGUUAUCUGAUGAGCUGUGCAAUGUAGGUGAAAGGCCAAUCUGACUAGUAGAUAGCUGGUAUUCCUCGAAACAUAUUUUAGUAUGACUUUAUUGUAAGAUUAACGCAGGUACAGCACUGAUUACCAUACUGGUUCGCCAGUUUAAUUGGGGGGUUACAUAACUCUAUCAUUGGUAGUUAACCUCGGAAUUACGUUAAUUGGUAAAUAAAUUUCAGACUAUUCAUGAUAAGGUGGAUAGUCGAGACGGAAACAGCCGUGAGCAUAAGUUAAGGUCCCAAAAUAAUUAUUAAGUGAAAUUAAGGAAGUGAAAGUUCUAAUACAACUAUGCAGUGGGCUUGGUAGUGGCUACCUGUUAAUGAUAGUGUAACAACUCAGUAGUCUAAUAGGAAUUUUUGCGCCGAAAAUAAACGGGUCUAGAUAAUUUACCGAAACUAUGCCAACGUACACUUUAUUAGAGGUGUAUGGUUGAGUAGAGGAACAUUCAGCGCGGUUGAAGAAUAGUGUUUCAUUAUUUGGACGUAGCUGAAGAGAGAAUGCUAACAUGAGUAACGUAGAAAGAAGUUAUAAUACUUCUCGCCGAAUACGAGAGGGUUCCAUGGAAAUGUUUAACAGCCAUGGUUUAAAACGGCCUCUAAGGGUUAUGACUAAUGUUGUAACCUGAUGAGUAAUAUGCAGAAAAGCCAAUUAAUAUUGGUUCAGGAAAACUAUGCAUUUAUUACCGUACCCUAAACCGACACAGGUUCGUAGGUAGAGAAUACUAAGGCGUAGAGAUAAUACUAGGUAAGGAACUCGGCAAAUUGCGUGCGUACAUUCGAUAAUAAGCACGACCAAUGAAAAUUGGUGACACAGAAUCGAAAGCCACAACUGUUUACCUAAAACACAGGCAUCUGCUAUAUGACAAUAUUGUAUAGGUGCUGAAUCUUGCCCAAUGCCAUGAGUAUAAGUUUUAAUCCAAAAAAAGAUUAGAAUGAACCUCUGGUGAAUGGCGGUCUUAACUAUAAGGAUCCUAAGGUAGCGAAAUUCCUUGGCCAUUAAAUGUGGUCCUGCAUCAAUAGAGUAAUGAUGGCUUUGCUGUCUCACCUAGUAGCUCAGUGAAAUUGAAUUAGCCGUGAAGAUGCGGUUUACGCUCGGGUAGACGGGAAGACCCUAUGCAGCUUUACUACAACUAGUUAUCGUAUCGGCCUUUAUCAGGUGUAGCGUAGAAGGUAGUGCAUUAGCACGCAGGUGAAACACCUUUACUGAUAUAAGGCUAGUACUUAUCCUAAAUAUGGGAAAAAAUGACUGGCGGGUAGUUUAACUGGGACGGUUUCCUUUAAUAUAGUAUCAAAGGACUCCAAAGGUAUGUUUACAUUAGAUGGAAACUAAUUGGCCAUGUAGGGCUAUCGACGAAUUUAUUCGUUAUUAAGUGUAAAGGCAAAAACAUGCUUGACUGCUAGACUUAUAAGUCGCGCAGGUACGUAAGUAGGGCUUAGUGAUCCGGUGGUUCUAAAUGGAUAGGCCAUCGCUCAAGAAAUAAAAGUUACGCUAGGGAUAACAGGCUGAUACCGCACGAGAGUUCAUAUUGUCUGCGGUGUUUGGCACCUCGAUGUCGACU